GACGUAGGGCGCGAGCGUUGUCCGGAUUUAUUGGGCGUAAAGAGCUCGUAGGCGGCUUGUCGCGUCGACUGUGAAAUCCCGCGGCUCAACUGCGGGUCUGCAGUCGAUACGGGCAGGCUAGAGUUCGGUAGGGGAGACUGGAAUUCCUGGUGUAGCGGUGAAAUGUGCAGAUAUCAGGAGGAACACCGGUGGGCGAAGGCGGGUCUCUGGGCCGAUACUGACGCUGGAGGCGCGAAAGCUAGGGGAGCGAACGGG
rnacentral:rRNA from 1 species